GUCUCAAAGAUUAAGCCAUGCAUGUCUCAGUGCAAGCCACAUUAAGGUGAAACCGCGAAUGGCUCAUUACAUCAGUUAUGGUUCCUUAGAUCGUACCACAAUUACUUGGAUAACCGUGGUAAUUCUAGAGCUAAUACAUGCAAACAGAGUUCCGACCAGAGAUGGAAGGAAUGCUUUUAUUAGAUCAAAACCAAUCGGCGGUGGGCUCGCUCACUGCCGUCUGACUUGGUGACUCUGAAUAACUUUCUGCUGAUCGCACGGUCUCGCACCGGCGACGCAUCUUUCAAAUGUCUGCCUUAUCAACUGUCGAUGGUAGUUUCUGCGACUACCAUGGUUGUUACGGGUAACGGGGAAUCAGGGUUCGAUUCCGGAGAGGGAGCCUGAGAAACGGCUACCACAUCCAAGGAAGGCAGCAGGCGCGCAAAUUACCCACUCCCGGCACGGGGAGGUAGUGACGAAAAAUAACGAUACGGGACUCAUCCGAGGCCCCGUAAUCGGAAUGAGUACACUUUAAAUCCUUUAACGAGGACCUAUUGGAGGGCAAGUCUGGUGCCAGCAGCCGCGGUAACUCCAGCUCCAAUAGCGUAUAUUAAAGUUGUUGCGGUUAAAAAGCUCGUAGUUGAAUCUGUGUCCCGCACUGUCGGUUCACCGCUCGCGGUGUUCAACUGGCACGUUCGCGGGACGUCCUGCCGGUGGGCGCAGUCCUAAUAAGACGGCCCAACUCACAAUCCUACCACGUUGCUCUUCACCGAGUGUCGAGGUGGGCCGGCACGUUUACUUUGAACAAAUUAGAGUGCUUAAAGCAGGCUAAUUCGCCUGAAUAUUCUGUGCAUGGAAUAAUAGAAUAGGACCUCGAUUCUAUUUUGUUGGUUUUCGGAACUCCGAGGUAAUGAUUAAUUGGGAUAAUUGGGGGCAUUCGUAUUGCGACGUUAGAGGUGAAAUUCUUGGAUCGUCGCAAGACGGACAGAAGCGAAAGCAUUUGCCAAAUGUGUUUUCAUCAAUCAAGAACGAAAGUUAGAGGUGCGAAGGCGAUCAGAUACCGCCCUAGUUCUAACCAUAAACGAUGCCAGCUAGCGAUCCGCCGAAGUUCCUCCGAUGACUCGGCGGGCAGCUUCCGGGAAACCAAAGCUUUUGGGUUCCGGGGGAAGUAUGGUUGCAAAGCUGAAACUUAAAGGAAUUGACGGAAGGGUACCACCAGGAGUGGAGCCUGCGGCUUAAUUUGACUCAACACGGGAAACCUCACCAGGCCCGGACACCGGAAGGAUUGACAGAUUGAGAGCUCUUUCUUGAUUCGGUGGGUGGUGGUGCAUGGCCGCUCUUAGUUGGUGGAGCAAUUUGUCUGGUUAAUUCCGAUAACGAACGAGACUCUAGCCUGCUAAAUAGGCGUACUUACCGGUAUCUCGAAGGCCCGCCGGCUCGGCUUCGGUCGUUGUCGCGUGUGGUUUUUACUACCGGCGUACACAUAUAUCUUCUUAGAGGGACAGGUGACAUUUAGUCGCACGAAAUUGAGCAAUAGCAGGUCAGUGAUGCCCUUAGAUGUUCUGGGCCGCACGCGCGCUACACUGAAGGGAUCAGCAGGUUUUCCUUGGCCGAAAGGUCCGGGUAAUCCGUUGAAGCCCCUUCGUGCUAGGGAUUGGGGCUUGCAAUUCUUCCCCAUGAACGAGGAAUUCCCAGUAAGCGCGAGUCAUAAGCUCGCGUUGAUUACGUCCCUGCCCUUUGUGCAUACCGCCCGUCGCUACUACCGAUUGAAUGAUUUAGUGAGGUCUUCGGACCGGUGCGCGGCAGCGUUUCGGCGUUGCCGAUGUUGCUGGGAAGAUGACCAAACUUGAUUAUUUAGAGGAAGUAAAAGUCGUAACAAGGUUACCGUAGGUGAACCU
rnacentral:rRNA from 1 species